AGAGUUUGAUCAUGGCUCAGAAUGAACGCUGGCGGCGUGCCUAACACAUGCAAGUCGAGCGAGAAAGUCCCCUUCGGGGGGCGAGUAAAGCGGCGCACGGGUGAGUAACGCGUGGGUAACCUGCCCUAGAGCGGGGGAUAACCAGCCGAAAGGCUGACUAAUCCCGCAUACGACCGGCAGACACAAGUCUGCUGGGGAAAGAUGGCCUCUGCUUGCAAGCUAUCGCUCUUGGAUGGGCCUGCGUUGGAUUAGCUAGUUGGUGAGGUAAUGGCUCACCAAGGCUGCGAUCCAUAGCUGGUUUGAGAGGACGACCAGCCACACUGGAACUGAGACACGGUCCAGACUCCUACGGGAGGCAGCAGUGAGGAAUAUUGCGCAAUGGGGGAAACCCUGACGCAGCGACGCCGUGUGAGCGAUGAAGGCCUUCGGGUCGUAAAGCUCUGUCAGAGGGAAAGAAAGGGCCGGAGGAAUAAUACCCUUCGGCAUUGACGGUACCCUCAGAGGAAGCACCGGCUAACUCCGUGCCAGCAGCCGCGGUAAUACGGAGGGUGCAAGUGUUAUUCGGAAUCACUGGGCGUAAAGAGCACGUAGGCGGAUUGGUAAGUCAGGUGUGAAAUCCCGGGGCUCAACUCCGGAACUGCAUUUGAUACUGCCAGUCUUGAGUGAGGUAGAGGGGAGUGGAAUUCCCGGUGUAGAGGUGAAAUUCGUAGAUAUCGGGAGGAACACCAGAGGCGAAGGCGACUCCCUGGGCCUCUACUGACGCUGAGGUGCGAAAGCGUGGGGAGCAAACAGGAUUAGAUACCCUGGUAGUCCACGCCGUAAACGAUGAGUACUAGGUGCGGGGGGUAUAAACUCCUUCCGUGUCGCAGCUAACGCAUUAAGUACUCCGCCUGGGAAGUACGGUCGCAAGGCUGAAACUCAAAUGAAUUGACGG
rnacentral:rRNA from 1 species